rnacentral:tRNA from 1 species
GCCUGGGUGGCUCAGUCAGUUGAGCGUCUGACUUUGGCUCAGGUCAUGAUCUCAUGGUUUGUGAGUUCGAGCCCCACAUUGGGCU